UACAGAGGUCCCAAGCGUUGUUCGGAUUCACUGGGCGUAAAGGGUGCGUAGGUGGCCAGGUAAGUUUGGUGUGAAAGCUCGGAGCUUAACUCCGAAAUGUCAUUGAAUACUAUCUGGCUGGAGGGUCGGAGGGGAGACUGGAAUUCUCGGUGUAGCAGUGAAAUGCGUAGAUAUCGAGAGGAACACCUGCGGCGAAGGCGGGUUGCUGGGCUGACACUGACGCUGAACUGCGAAAGCUAGGGGAGCGAACGGG
rnacentral:rRNA from 1 species